GAGUCGGGUUGCCUGGGAUCGCAGCCUAAAGUUGGGUGGUAGAUCUCAUCUAAGGCUAAAUAUGGCCACGAAACCGAUAGCAAACAAGU
rnacentral:rRNA from 1 species